UGUUAAUACAGGAUUAAAGAUGGCGGAGCUCUGAAACGAAACCGUCCCCAUGGAGACAGUUAUGGGAUGGACCUCGCUGCAGCAAACAGAAAGGGGCGGGACGGACCACUAGAAGUCUGUCUUCAGAUGUCAUCUGGACCAUGGACAGAAUUUGUUGGCAAUGAUGUUAAGGGAUUGCCUAAACAAGGACUGUCCAACAA